rnacentral:misc_RNA from 1 species
GAUGAAGAACGUAGCGAAAUGCGAUAAGUAAUGUGAAUUGCAGAAUUCAGUGAAUCAUCGAGUCUUUGAACGCACAUUGCGCCCCCUGGUAUUCCGGGGGGCAUGCCUGUCCGAGCGUCAUUGCUGCCCUCAAGCACGGCUUGUGUGUUGGGCCCCCGUCCCCGGUUUCCCCCGGGGACGGGCCCGAAAGGCAGCGGCGGCACCGCGUCCGGUCCUCGAGCGUAUGGGGCUUUGUCACCCGCUCUGUAGGCCCGGCCGGCGCCAGACGACACCCAACUUUAUUUCUAAGGUUGACCUCGGAUCAGGUAGGGAUACCCGCUGAACUUAAGCAUAUCAAAGCGGAGGA